UAAAUAACAAUGCAGGGCCCUUUGGGUCUUGCAAUUGGAAUGAGAACAAUUUAAAUCCCUUAUCGAGUAACAAUUGGAGGGCAAGUCUGGUGCCAGCAGCCGCGGUAAUUCCAGCUCCAAUAGCGUAUAUUAAAGUUGUUGCAGUUAAAACGCUCGUAGUUGGGCCUUUGGCAAGGCGGGGCGGUCUAGAUUUCUGGACUGUGUCGCUGCGCCUCUUUUGGGGGACUCGUCACCUUUAGGUGGCGGUGAACCCGGGUUACUGUGAAGAAAUUAGAGUGUUUAAAGCAGGCGAUCGCUUGAAUACAUCAGCAUGGAAUAACAAGAUAGGACAUGGUUCUACUUGUUGGUUUGGGAGCCAUAGUAAUGAUUAAUAGGGCCAGUUGGGGCAUUAGUAUUUAGCAGUCAGAGGUGAAAUUCUUGGAUUUGCUAAAGACUAACUAAUGCGAAAGCAUUUGCCAAGGAUGUUUUCAUUAAUCAAGAACGAAAGUUAGGGGAUCGAAGACGAUCAGAUACCGUCGUAGUCUUAACUAUAAACGAUGCCGACUCGGGAUCGGUGGUAGUCGUUUGCGACACCAUCGGCACCGUGUGAGAAAUCAAAGUUUUUGGGUUCUGGGGGAGUAUGGUCGCAAGGCUGAAACUUAAAGGAAUUGACGGAAGGGCACCACCAGGAGUGGAGCCUGCGGCUUAAUUUGACUCAACACGGGAAAACUCACCAGGUCCGGACAUAGUAAGGAUUGACAGAUUGAGAGCUCUUUCUUGAUUCUGUGGGUGGUGGUGCAUGGCCGUUCUUAGUUGGUGGAGUGAUUUGUCUGGUUAAUUCCGAUAACGAACGAGACCUUAACCUGCUAACUAGUUUGCUCAACGUUCGCGUUGGCCAACACUUCUUAGAGGGACUGACUAUGUUUAAUAGUCGGAAGUUUGAGGCAAUAACAGGUCUGUGAUGCCCUUAGAUGUUCUGGGCUGCACGCGCGCUACACUGACAAAGCCAGCGAGUAUACCUUUGCCGAGAGGCAUGGGAAAUCUUGUGAAACUUUGUCGUGCUGGGGAUAGAUCAUUGCAAUUAUUGGUCUUGAACGAGGAAUUCCUAGUAAGCACAAGUCAUCAGCUUGUGCUGAUUACGUCCCUGCCCUUUGUACACACCGCCCGUCGCUACUACCGAUUGAAUGGCUUAGUGAGGC
rnacentral:rRNA from 1 species